ACUCCUACGGGAGGCAGCAGUGGGAAUAUUGCACAAUGGGCGAAAGCCUGAUGCAGCAACGCCGCGUGAGCGAUGAAGGCCUUCGGGUCGUAAAGCUCUGUCCUAAGGGAAGAAUAAUGACGGUACCUUGGGAGGAAGCCCCGGCUAACUACGUGCCAGCAGCCGCGGUAAUACGUAGGGCGAAGCGUUAUCCGGAAUCACUGGGCGUAAAGGGUGCGUAGGCGGCUCUUCAAGUCAGGGGUGAAAGGCUACGGCUCAACCGUAGUAAGCCUUUGAAACUGUAGAGCUUGAGUGCAGGAGAGGAGAGUGGAAUUCCUAGUGUAGCGGUGAAAUGCGUAGAUAUUAGGAGGAACACCAGUGGCGAAGGCGACUCUCUGGACUGUAACUGACGCUGAGGCACGAAAGCGUGGGAGCAAACAGGAUUAGAUACCCUGGUAGGCUCUGC
rnacentral:rRNA from 1 species